UGCCUAUAAUGCAAAUAAAAAAAAUCCAAAUUGAACAACUUAGAAAGCGAGUAGCUGAACUGUUUCAAAACCUGUUUCAUUUUUUAACAGUUUUAUUGUGCGAUCAUUAUGAAAUUUGUAGAAUUUCAAAUACACCUAUAUUCCAACAGAUAGAUAGCCAGAUAACUGAAUUGUUAUAUGUACUAUUUCGAUUCCCAUCAAGAUGCCAUACCCUUCACACCUAUGGCCAGAGGGCAUUGAUUGCUUCAUAUCCAUUUUGGGACACGUAAGACAAAGCAUUAAGUGCGCACUAGCUACACACGCACAGGUACAUGUGUGUGUUUGAUAUCUAACAUGGCGUGUGAUGAUUGACGUUUACCAAAGCAAACCAAUGAGAUAGCAGAGAUCUGCAGUAAUGUGAAAUAUAGAUGGCGCCAGUACUUACUCUGAUUGAAGGCUCGAGCGGCAUGACCGUCAACAGCAUCCAGCAAUGCACUGAUUAUAUAACACCAACCGGCGAUCACAUAGUUGGUGGACAUGAACCAAAACGCAAUAAGAGCCAACACGAUGCGUGCAUAACCUGCAAAUUAAUCCAUAAGAAAAA